UACGUAGGUGGCGAGCGUUGUCCGGAUUUACUGGGCGUAAAGAGCGCGCAGGCGGUCGUACAAGUCGCGUGUGAAAGCCCCCGGCUCAACUGGGGAGGGUCACGCGAUACUGUUCGACUCGAAGGCAGGAGAGGGAAGUGGAAUUCCCGGUGUAGUGGUGAAAUGCGUAGAUAUCAGGAGGAACACCGAUGGCGAAGGCAGGUCUCUGGGCAUUAACUGACGCUGAGGAGCGAAAGCAUGGGGAGCGAACAGG
rnacentral:rRNA from 1 species